AUGAGCGAAAAGAUAAGCGUCCCCCUCGGGUGGAUGUCUUCAAUGCCCAUCUGUGUCUGGGCCAUGCUGCUACAAGCUCUAAGAGCGCUUACUGAGGACCCCAGUGACAGAUUGUCUGAAAAGAAGCAAGAGUUUCCUACAACAAAAGAACUAACCUAUGGCGCAAUAUACUUUGGCUUGCGGCAAAUGUGUUUGAAUCUGUGUAAAAAAGUAAAAACUGCAAAUCUGUCUCCUUCUAUGUGGAACCAAAUCUGGAAAUAUGUGCUGCAGAGGCAACUGUAAAAUCAUAUUUCAUUCUGGCAGAUGGGCCAAUGAUUGUGUUGUGUGAGUAAUGAGUAUAUGUAAUCCAUGUGGUAAGCUUUGUGGACUGAGAGAAAGUCAGCGUUAUUCACUGAGGCUUGGCAAGCUGGAACCAUUGAUUUAGAAAAAUUUACAUGGGCUGAAAUAAUCUGAAAAAUGUACUGUCCGGUUUGUCAAUCUGUGAACAUAGCAAAAACCAUAGCACUCCCGAUUAGCACAAAGGGUGAGGGAGGAAAUCUCUUUUUGCUGUUUUCUAGUUGACACGUACAGAGGAGUGAUUCCUCUUGUACAAUAAGGGAAUUUAUAAUUCAUACUAUCUUUCAGCAAAUCAAGAAAUCCAAAUGGGUAUCUGUAGGACGAGAAAUCCAAAAAAAACUUUAGCCAUAUGAUACACUUAGAGGAAAGUCAAAAAUCUUUAUAGAGUUUAUUGUCAUUGUGUUCAGAUCAAUUCUUAAUUGUUUUUAGCUACGGAUUCUUGAGUUUCAAAGUAAUUGUAAAAUCUUUUUACUAAGUACAAAGUAGCUUAAGUUCUCAAGGAUGUACAGCUCCAUAGGAGGGAAAAACCGUGAUGAUAAACUUGGAGAGGCCCAUUUAUCUUUGUGAAUAACAAGUUAUCAUUUAGACAGCAAUUUUUUUUUCUUAAGCCCAAAGGCAUUUAAAAAAGUAGAAUCUUCAGCUCAUAAAGGACCUUAGAAGUGAUGCAGAGCGGGUAGGAGAAGACAGCAUGGGCAGUUGGUCGGGGAAACUGGGAGUAAAGGUGGCUGGAACUCGAACAGAGUGAAAGAUGAUCCAGAACUGGGAGUUGGGUGAGCAAUUAUUGUUUAACAGGUACCGAGUUUCCGUUUGGAUUGAUUUUAAAAUGCUGGAAAAGGCUAAUGGUGAUGGUUACACAACAAUGUGAAUGUAACUCAUGCCAUUGAAAUAGAGACUUAAAAAUGGCUAAAAUGGUAAAUUUUAUGUCAUGUGUAUUUUACCACAUAAAACCAUAGUAUGUUAUGUUAUUUAUAUUUUGCAUUUAAAAAUAUUUUUUUAAAAAAAGGGACACCUGGGUGGUGCAGUUGGUUGAAUGUCUGACUCUUGGUUUCGGCUUGGAUCGUGAUCUCCUGGUCUGGGAUGGAGCCCGACGUAGGGCUCCACGCUCAGCAUGGAGUCCACUUGAGACUCUCUCUACCUUUCCCUCUGCCUCUCCCCCCACCUCCAUCUUCUCUCUCUCCCUCUCUCUCUUUCUCUCUCAAGUAAAUAAAUAAAAUCAAAAAAAU
rnacentral:lncRNA from 1 species